rnacentral:tRNA from 1 species
GAACCCGUGGCUCAUUGGUUGGAGCGUUUGACUUCUGAUCAACAGUUCGCGGGUUCG